rnacentral:lncRNA from 1 species
AAAAAAACUAACCUUGUGUCUUGUGAAAAGGGGUGAAAGGGUGUGUGAGGGUGGAUGGAGUGGAAGGGACACAGCUGGAAUUUGUCACCAGCCACUGAUUCCCCAGAGGAGCUGAGAGCUGACCCACCUACAUAUGUUCUCUACCUCUGAGUUCUCCCUUCUGCCUGAGACUUGGAUCAUUUUUGCACCUGGGCCCUCACAUCCCACCCCAGGCCCUGGAUCUCCCCUGUCUGCCUUUAGCUCUCCCAUUCCACUCCUGCCCUAGGCCCUCCUGCCUCUGAGCUCUCUAUUCUGCUUCCUAGGACUUCUUGGCCCCUGGUCUAUGCAGUCUGCCCCAGGUUCAAGGAUUCUGCCUCUUGGUCUUCAUUUCACUUUAGUCCUGGGACUUCCCUGAUUCUAAGACCCUCUGUUGUAUCCCAACUCCCAGAUCACCCUUUCUCUGGAUCCUCUUUUAUGUCCUCAAAUCUGGAUUCCACUCCCUGAAGAGCCCCCAUUAUGGUUCUUGGAUCUCUCCUCCUUCAGCAUUCCCUAUUCCAUCCUAGUCCCCAGGGCUCUGCCCCUAGACCCUUUAUUUAUCACACGUCUUCCUGGCCUUUAGGCCCCACAGUUCUGUAGUGGUCCAGGGACACCUAUCUUUGAGGCACUCAUUCCAAAUCCAAGAAACCUUGCAAGACCCCUUCCCCUAGGACUUCAGUGUGCCCUAUUUGUGUAUCUCCCUUUCACCCCAAGUCUUAGGUCUCCUCUGCCUUCAAGCCCCUCAUUUUAUCCCAGCUCACCCACAUCUGCUGUGCAAAACACAAAACUAUGAGCAGGCCAGUCACUCCAGUGUUUCCCUACCUUCCUCUUUUCUUUUCCCACUGAACCCCAAAUACCAAGUCUCUGUUUCCUUGCAGCUUUGGUAAGCUAUGAAAAAAGAGAACUCCCAACUGUGGGCCUGUUUCUGCUGGGCCUAGAAGGGCUAAGCCAUUUCCCACUCCCUGAUACCAGAGAGCUCUGGACUAUUCUCUUCCUAUUGAAACCCUCUUUGGCCUCUUGGUCUUCAAGAGUUUUUCUCAUGACCCAUUUUGUUAAAGUUCUGCUGAGUG